GGCCGAGAAGCGAUAACCAGAAUGUGCCAGACAUUCAUGACAGCAUCGUCUGGCUUUCCGUCACAUUCGGGUUUGGCAAACUAGCAUGUCAUUUAAGAAGCUUUCAAUGUAGAAAGUCGCCAUGCUUUUAAGAAAUUGCAUGAUAUUCUGACUGCAAAUACUAUCUUCAAAGAUUUAGCGUAUUUCUGCAGCUACAUUGUCACUAUGAAAUAGCGGAGCAACGUUCAGGGGUUAAAACUGCAGCUGUCUUCUCCGAGCGACACAAGGGAAACAACACGAAUUUGACCCGCAUCGAUGGAGAACACGUGGACUUUCAUUGAGCAAAAGGCACACCAGAAUAAUCUAAAUACGCUACCAGCCACUACCAGAGGCGGCCUUAGCAGCAGUACGCGGUGCCCUGCUGUUUGGUCCUAUGCGAGGGCCGAGAGCCGUAAGUGUAGGCUGCAUACCGUACCACAAGAAUCUCCUAUCGCGGGCCUCCAUUACGAUCUGUAUGUAAGCAUAAUUAUUGUCAUAAACCAUUUUUUAGUUUUUUGGUUUGCUUUUUGGUUUUGUGUGUGUGUGUGUGUGUGUGUGUGUGUGUGUG